AUGGAGCUUGACUCGGGUCUCCAUCCCAUGACCCUGAGAGCACCACCUAAGCAGAAACCAGGAGUGGGACUUAACCGACUCAGCAACCCAGGUGCCCGCUGUGUGGAUCUUCUAAAGCAGUGGGGUCGGUUGGUGAGACUUGGCGUGGAAGAACAAUGUGAGAAGAGGGAUUCAUCAGAAUGUUCUAGAAGCUCUGAGUUUCACAGACCGCUGCCCCUGCCAAAUUGUCAGCCUGGUGGAGGCCAAAAGAGGCGGCCAACCCUGGAGCACCUGACUUUGCUGCUUAAAACUCAAGUCCUGACCCAGGCCCAACCCUACCACCCCGUUCUGGCUGACCCUGGGUGAUCUCUGCUGUUGGAGUUCGGAAGAGCUAGGGGUCCUGAGGGACUCAGAAGACCCUUGUAUUGCUGCACUGACCCUCAUGAACCUCUUCUGGCCUAGGGCCUCUGGAGCAGGUGCUGGCUGAGGCAGUCUGUGUGUGCCAGCCUGGGGGAGGUAAGUCACUAUGCAACCCAAGGGCAGCUGGUAUCUUAAAAUAACCACCUUUGAUGCACUAAACAGCCCCAACGAAGACCGAGACUGUAAACCGUUAGGAUGGUAUUAGGGGUUGAAUUGUGUCCCUUGCAAAAAGAUAUGCUCAAGUGCCAACCCUUGGGACCUCAGCAUGUGACCUUAGUUGGAAAUAGGGUCGCUGUAGAUAUAAUUAGUUAUGAUGAAGAAGCCUAGGGUGGGUGGGCCCCUAAUCCAAUGUGACUGGUGUCCUUUGAAGAAGACACCCCUAUGAAGAUACAUGCACACAGGGAGAAGCCAUGUGAUGACAAAGGCAGACUGAAUUUAUGCAGCUUUGAGCCCAGGAAUGCCAACGAUUGCAGAAAAACACCGGAAGCCAGGAAGGAGCGAGGAGGGGUUCCUCUGUAGCUUUCAGAGGGAACGUGGCUCUGCCGACACCUUGGUUUGGGAUUUCUGGCCUCCAGAACUGUGAGAUGAUAAAUUUCCAUUGCCUUAGGCCCCCCAGCCCAAGGCGCUUUGUUACAGCAGCUCCAGGAACCUAAUAAAGGUCGAACAGAGAUGCGUGAAAAUGACUUC
rnacentral:lncRNA from 12 species